UACAGAGGUCCCGAGCGUUGUUCGGAUUCAUUGGGCGUAAAGGGCGCGUAGGCGGCGGGGUAAGUCGGGUGUGAAAUCUCAGAGCUCAACUCUGAAACUGCACUCGAUACUGCUCUGCUUGAGGACUGGAGAGGAGACUGGAAUUCACGGUGUAGCAGUGAAAUGCGUAGAUAUCGUGAGGAAGACCAGUGGCGAAGGCGGGUCUCUGGACAGUUCCUGACGCUGAGGCGCGAAGGCCAGGGGAGCAAACGGG
rnacentral:rRNA from 1 species